CCUACGGGAGGCAGCAGUAGGGAAUCUUUCACAAUGGGCGAAAGCCUGAUGGAGCAACGCCGCGUGCAGGAUGAAGGCCUUCGGGUUGUAAACUGCUUUUAUAAGCGAGAAAUAUGAUGGUAACUUAUGAAUAAGGAUCGGCUAACUACGUGCCAGCAGCCGCGGGCAUACGUAGGAUCCGAGCAUUAUCCGGAGUGACUGGGUGUAAAGAGUUGCGUAGGUGGCAUAGUAAGUAGCUAGUGAAAUCUGGAGGCUCAACCAUUCAGACGAUUAGCUAAACUGCUAAGCUCGAGACCGUUAGGGGUAACUGGAAUUUCUAGUGUAGGAGUGAAAUCCGUAGAUAUUAGAAGGAACACCGAUAGCGUAGGCAGGUUACUGGGACGGUUCUGACACUAAGGCACGAAAGCGUAGGGAGCAGACGGGAUUAGAUACCCGGGUAGUC
rnacentral:rRNA from 1 species